UUAGGCCCCAUGUUGUUAGAUGGGCUGCUAAUUACGUCGGCCCAACUAAUCUUACGCUGGCGGCGCUGCAGAAGACAGCGGCGGACACUGACAGGCAGCCGCGGAGAAGUUCGCCGGGGCGGCGACCCUCGGCUGCCGCUCCGGUGGCUGCCGGAUUCGCGGGGAGGCCGAAUUGUCCACGCUGCGCCGCCGAAAACCUCCGGUCAGUUCUCGAUCCAGUACCCCCUCUCCCGAGAGGCCGAGACCCUCCGCCGGCCGCUGCUGGAGGCAGCGAUGGCUUCCAGAACCGCCACCCUGUACGGCGGCGGGAGCGUGCCCUGCAUGCAGCGCGGAGCCCACCGGAUCGAGCCCCCCUGCGCGGUGGCGUUCCUCGAGAUCGCUGCUGGCAGAGGAGGGCGGAGGCGAUGAUGACGACGACGUCCCGGCAGGGGGUAAGGGAGGAGGGGUAGUUGCCUGUCAAAUUUGGUACUGUCGUAAUGUCGUGUACACACUAUUGCAAGAGAGUAUCUGAUGUAGCUGUACAGAAAGGACUGCAUCAGCGAGAUCUUUAAACCGGCAGGUCGGUAUUCUCAUCAAAGGGAAAUGGCGCCAAUUUUGGGUGUGCUGCUUGGUGGCACUCACCAGGUUAGCAUGCAUCCUCUUGACGAAAGUUUUGAAUGUGCUGUAGUUCUGUCCCUCCAGCAGCUCGUCUGAUAAUCGGAGGUAGGUGAAUCCAAAUAGCUUGUGCUCAGGAGGUCCAUUCUUGUUGAUGCCUGUCGGCCUUGAAUUCCUUAGUAUUGUGUUGUAAGCUGUUGCAUCGUAUCGACCGAGUGCGUUUUCGCAUGCCACAUCUGCACUCUGCAUCCCAAGAAGACCUUGUUUGCUUCAUCCAAGAUCUUGUCUCCAUGUUUUAUCAGCUUGUUUGAGUACCAUGUGAGGAAGAACUUCCCCUUCUCAGUGACAUAUGUUCCAUUAUCCGCGAAGAACCGGGUCUUCUCGGGAGUGUCAUUGUACUCUCCAGCAUCGUCGGGCAAUUCCCAUUCAGGAUGCCCAGCCUUUGCUGCUUCUGCUUUGAAAUCUGCCUCCAGGAGAUCUGCAAUUGGACCAUGAUUGUUGUCUUUGGUCAUCAGCCAUCACAUGGAGGAGAAUAUUUUUAUCAACAACUUAUUUAUAAAAUGAGGGCAGCCAUAAGAAUCUUUACUCUGGUAAAGACUAAAGAACACUCACUAUGAAUUCUCCUAUGCCUGGGAACACCCAUCCCUGGCUCUGGGGGUAGGAAGGGUAUCUCAUCUCACCAGCUGGACCAAGCCCCACCUCAAUGUCCACAAUGACACCAGUAUCCAAGAACUCUGCCAUGUUCUCCCUGAAGCUCUUCAUGUAGUCAGCAUACAUCUGUCACAGCCACAGACAAGAGAAGAAUGUGGUGGUGGGGCUUGCUUAUCAGCUAAAACCUGGAUGGCAGUUCUUCCAUGGAAGAGAGGCUGGUCAUCCACUCCAAGGGUGAGGUACUCGAUGUUCCUCGCCCCACCACGGUUGGUGUAGAAGAUGUCGGGGUCGCUCGCG